GUACGUUGGCCAUACUACGCCGACAUGGCCGACGUGACCGACGGCGUAGUAUCUGUUCUUAUCAGCCUAAUAUCUGAUACGGGUUCUAUUUGGAGCAGAUAAUAAAUUAUUUUUUCAUAUUGGCAGAGUGCUUGAUGCCUGCUUCACCACUGCCGAGGGUCGGCCGCUAUUGUACUAUCUUCGGGAUCGGCUCAUUUAUC